rnacentral:rRNA from 1 species
GGCUCAGUCGCGGUCACCCUCGGCUUCGUCGCCAACAACUACAGCUCCAAGUCCGUGGAGUACGACGGGACGAACUGCGUGUACCGGAGUCCGCCGGCGAUGGGGCUCGGCAUCCUGGGGGUGUUCCUGGUGUUCAUCAACCAGGUCAUCGUCGCCGCCUACGCCAGCGGCUGGUGCCUUUGCCUCUGCUGCUGCUGCCCCUGCUGGACCAAGCGCCGCCGGCUCGCGCCAACGCCGUCCAAGCGGCACAGGCUCGGCAUCAUCCUCUCCAUCUUCUCCUGGGUCCUGACGAUCGUGGCGAUGGCGAUGUUCAUUGUCGGCGUGACGGAGAGCUCGCGGGAGGAGGCGCCCAUCUCCAAAACCCCGACCUCCUAUGCGUGCAGGGAGCCGGGGACGAUCGGAAGCUUCCCGACGGCGUCCCUGUCCUCCCUCAUUGCCGUCGUGCUCGGGAUCGUGUCCUAUGUGCUGCUCGAGACGGCUGCACCGUCGCACUCGCCGCCCGAUGGGCUGUUUCGCCUGGAGGUUGCCGGCGGUGCGACUAGUACGGGGCAGCAGCAGAUCCAGCUUCAGGCUAAUGGACCGACGGGUGGUGCGGAUCAGGAAGCAGAGCAUGUAUCGCUGGCCACCGCGGUUUGA